rnacentral:rRNA from 1 species
UACGUAGGGUGCGAGCGUUGUCCGGAAUUAUUGGGCGUAAAGAGCUCGUAGGCGGUCUGUCGCGUCGAUCGUGAAAACUUGGGGCUUAACCCUGAGCUUGCGGUCGAUACGGGCAUGACUGGAGUUCGGCAGGGGAGACUGGAAUUCCUGGUGUAGCGGUGAAAUGUGCAGAUAUCAGGAGGAACACCGGUGGCGAAGGCGGGUCUCUGGGCCGAUACUGACGCUGAGGAGCGAAAGCGUGGGGAGCGAACAGG